UUUUGUUGGAGAGUUUGAUCCUGGCUCAGGACGAACGCUGGCGGCGUGCUUAACACAUGCAAGUCGAGCGGUAAGGCCCUUUCGGGGGUACACGAGCGGCGAACGGGUGAGUAACACGUGGGUGACCUGCCCUCCACUCUGGGAUAAGCCCGGGAAACUGGGUCUAAUACCGGAUAGGACCACU
rnacentral:rRNA from 1 species